rnacentral:rRNA from 1 species
AACGAACGCUGGCGGCAUGCCUAACACAUGCAAGUCGAACGAUCUCUUCGGAGAUAGUGGCGCACAGGUGCGUAACGCGUGGGAAUCUGCCCUUGGGUUCGGAAUAACAGUUAGAAAUGACUGCUAAUACCGGAUAAUGUCUUCGGACCAAAGAUUUAUCGCCCAGGGAUGAGCCCGCGUAGGAUUAGCUUGUUGGUGAGGUAAAGGCUCACCAAGGCGACGAUCCUUAGCUGGUCUGGGAGGAUGAUCAGCCACACUGGGACUGAGGCACGGCCCAGACUCCUACGGGAGGCAGCAGUGGGGAAUAUUGGACAAUGGGCGAAAGCCUGAUCCAGCGAUGCCGCGUGAGUGAUGAAGGCCUUAGGGUUGUAAAGCUCUUUUACCCGGGAUGAUAAUGACAGUACCGGGAGAAUAAGCCCCGGCUAACUCCGUGCCAGCCGCCGCAGUAAUAC